UACCUAAUGUUACGCGAUUACUGGACCUCGUAGAUAUGAUAAUGGCAUAGGUCUUAAUAGUAUUGUAAAUUUUAAUACGGUUUAACCCAUCGGGUUGCAAUCUGCCAAAUACCAACGAAUAUGAUUAAAAUUAUAUAAAAUAUACCACUCAACAGCUUUAUCUUAUAUCUAAAACAGACAAUAAAAAUGUAACAUAAAGCAAAAUGUAAAAAAUCUUAACAUAAUUUAUUUGUGAUUUGCUUGAGACGUUUCCACCCAGUGACGACGGUGUGCCUCAUUUAAUAGAGUAAUAAAAAAUGUUCGACUUGGCUUACGUAAUCCGUAUUAUUUCCGUGUCGAGUCUAUUGUGGAGGUCAAUAUGGGUACGAUUUGGCAUUUGAAAGUAACCUUUUGUAACUUUAAAAAUAGACUGACAUACUUUUGUAUUAUAUACUGACAGUAAUAUUGCGGUCAAAUAAAGUCUAUGGUAUUUUAAAUACAAAUUCUUCAAAACUUAGCAGAUAAAUUUUAUUCCAUUAUAAGAAAUAAUUGUUAAAUUAGACUUAACGGACGCGAGUUAAAAUGUAUUUUCCUGUAAUUUCUAGAUUUGUGAUGCAAUAUGGGUCAUUGUAAAUUAUUAUUACAUGCAAUACCUAUUUUGAACAGAAGUUCAUGCUUGUAAAUCAUUUCAAUGUAGAGAAAAGUUAAAUUCGGUUUAAGUUAAGUAAAAUACAAUAGCCAUUUUUUUAUUAGUGGGUGGUAAAUGGGUAUAACAAAGUCGUAAAUCUCAUGUUAGGGGCAUUGUAAAAAUUUACUGACUGUCGGCAUUCACAGUGUUAAGAUGAAUGAAGUAACGAGUAAACGAAGGAACCCAAAGGAAUCUCACUCGAAAUAGAACUAUUUUAUGUUGAGAAAUGAAUGUGGCACUCACAACCAUGUCGCUUAUUUAAAAAGGUAACCGCAGACUUUCUGCUUAUAAGAGCACUGGUAUUUAUUAUUGAACCGAUAAUUUAAAAUGAAGAUGGUAAAAUUAAAUGCGCAUUAUCCGUA